GACGAACGCUGGCGGCGUGCUUAACACAUGCAAGUCGAACGGUAAGGCUCGGUGUUUGUCCUGGGCGGGUGUGGCGAGAGCGUGAGAAACAUGCGAGUGACCUGUCCUCGUGACUGGGGGAUCUGCAGGGAACAUGGGGUAUCAUACGAUAUACGCUCUGGCUCCGCGGGGGGGUGUGGAGAGUGUGGGCGGUUGGGGAUGGACUGGCGGAUUAUCAGCUUGUUGGUGGGGUGGUGGAUGACCAAGGCCUUGACGGGUAGCCGGCCUGAGAGGGUGACCGGCCACACUGGGACUGAGACACGGCCCAGACUCCUACGGGAGGCAGCAGUGGGGAAUAUUGCACAAUGGGCGGAAGCCUGAUGCAGCAACGCCGCGUGCGGGAUGACGGCCUUCGGGUUGUAAACCGCUUUCGGCUGGGACGAAGCGAGAGUGACGGUAAUGGGAAAAGAAGCACCGGCUAACUACGUG
rnacentral:rRNA from 1 species